rnacentral:lncRNA from 1 species
UCUUAGUCUCUCUCUCUUUCCCUCCCCAUUAGACUCUCCAUUCUCAUGGUGGUUCAUUGCAGUGACUCUGGGGAUUUUCUUCGUGAUGACUUUACUACUGGCUAAUGGAGGCAAAUUAUUCUCCCUCAUUCAUCUGGUGGCUCAUUACUGUGAUGCUAGGAAUUCUGUGUGUGGUAAUUUCGGGGUCAUUCUGGUUACUGAAGAUAAAGGAUUCACCAACAAGUUUGCAGCUAGUCAUUUUGGUGACUUUGGUGAUUUUCUGCCUUGUGCUUCUGGCUACUGCAAGUGCUUUGGGUGCCCUGAGUAAGUGACCAACUGCUGU